rnacentral:lncRNA from 1 species
UGCACAUUCGGUCUGUGUUCCCUCAAGUGCUCAGGAAGAUGUGGCAUCCUGGAAGAUGGAAGGUCAGACAAGGAUGAGGAGCCCAGAACGCAGCUGCAGGCACAGAGCCGGAGAGGGAGCAGGGACUCAGAUCUGGAGCAGCCAGAACAGGGCAGGGUGCAAUGAGAUGUGAUCUGUCAUCCACGCAGCUCUCAGACAGAGGAAACGGAUCUUGUUGGCUCUUCCUGAUGUUUGAAAGCCUAAGGCUGCUCCCUUCCCAGCAACUCUGGG